CCCCAAUUUCCCUCAGAACCUGACAGCGCCGGUGUCCUCGUUCACAAAACACGCUUUGGCUUACUGAGGAUUGAGGCCAGCCAGAGAUGACGACUUCUACUGUUCUUUGUACACUCUCCAACACUUUUACCUCUUCUCUCUACUAAUUGCUAAACCGUCUCUUCAUUUUCCCGCCAAUUGGCCUUCAUUUUCCGGAGACUAGGCGAUGGUCACUUCGGGAGUCGUUCAAGAAAUUAUCUCAAAGCUCUCCUUACAUAAACCCUCUCUUCAUUUUUUGUUGCACUGAUUUGCUCAUCCAAUAUCUACAGGCUAGCGGCAAUUACCCAAGGCAAGUUUUGCAAAGACAUUGCGAAUUUUGUUUAACAAGAAGAGGAUGCUAAGUUUUCAGGCAAGAUGUUGCCAUUGUUAAAAGGCUCUUAAUCACAUAUGGGAUGUCUUAAGCAAUGUUCCAAGCUUUCAGUCAGAAUAUGAGAUUAUAGUCUGCCAUCUAUUGGUAAUUACCUAUUUUACUUGAGGAAUCGCAUUUAUUGCGGUGAGUUCUUUUUACAUUAAUUAGAGAGAUCUUCAAGACGAGUUAUCAUUGCAUCAUGAUUGGACAAGUACUUUCAACAUUUUUUUUUCAUUUGGCAGUCUUUCAAAAGUUUGUUCUUAUAUCAAGUUUCUGUCACUGUGGUCUACUUUUGUUAUACAUGUAGAUGAGAUUAAUGCUUGGGAUCUAUGUCAAGCUUGCAGAGCUUGAAACAAAGGGUUAACUCUUGUGUGUAUUCGUAUGUAUUAAUUGUCUGAGUGUAAUGGGUUAACUCUUUAUGGGAUCGUAAGUUACAUAUAGCAUCAUUCAUUGCUAUCUUCAUUUGCAUUUUUUUUUCCUAUUUACUCCUGCCCAAAUUCCCAUCCUGUGGUACCAUGGAUUCCUAAUCUUUUUAGGUUGAUUUGACUUUGUUGCAAUAAAAUAAUUUAGUCUUUGUGAGAAGACUAUGCUCGUGCCCAUUUUAUUCCUUUUAUUCCAUUUGCCCAUUGACUGCUGAUUAGGAACCAGAUGAUAUUCUGGAAACAAGUUUGGAAUACUCGCAAGAUCAAUACGAAGGGAAUGAAGAUGCUGCAAGUGCGCUGAAGCGUCUCAAACAAAAAGUAGAUGGAUAUGAAGAAGGUUCAACAGCUCAUACAAGACGCUAUUGAUCCGGAGCGCCUGUGUCAUAUGUUUCCUGGAUAUGGGGAGCUCGGAUGCAUAUAUGACUAUAAGUUGUUUAUGUAAUCUGAGACUGUAUUUGGUGUUAUUGGUGGGUGUAUGGUAACAUUUUGAAGAGAGAAAUUGAAAAUAAAGAAAAUGUCAAAUGUAUAAGUUUAUGUUCCUAUC